rnacentral:rRNA from 1 species
CCUACGGGGGGCUGCAGUGGGGAAUAUUGGACAAUGGGGGCAACCCUGAUCCAGCCAUGCCGCGUGUGUGAAGAAGGCCCUCGGGUUGUAAAGCACUUUCAGUGAGGAAGAACGCCUGGUGGUUAAUACCCAUCAGGAAAGACAUCACUCACAGAAGAAGCACCGGCUAACUCCGUGCCAGCAGCCGCGGUAAUACGGAGGGUGCGAGCGUUAAUCGGAAUUACUGGGCGUAAAGCGCGCGUAGGUGGCUUGAUAAGCCGGUUGUGAAAGCCCCGGGCUCCACCUGGGAACGGCAUCCGGAACUGUCAAGCUAGAGUGCAGGAGAGGAAGGUAGAAUUCCCGGUGUAGCGGUGAAAAGCGUAGAGAUCGGGAGGAAUACCAGUGGCGAAGGCGGCCUUGUGGACCGACACUGACACUGAGGUGCGAAAGCGUGGGUAGCAAACAGGAUUAGAUACCCCUGUAGUC